rnacentral:rRNA from 1 species
CGCAUCUGUGCAUGCAGCAUAUCAAUAAGCGGAGGAAAAGAAACUAACAAGGAUUCCCCUAGUAACGGCGAGUGAAGCGGGAAGAGCUCAAAUUUGAAAUCUUAAAGGGUUUCCCUUUACGAAUUGUAGUUUAAAGAAGUGUUUUCUGUUGAGGUUUUGGUAAAAGUUCUUUGGAAUAGGACAUCAUAGAGGGUGAGAAUCCCGUAUUUGACCUUUACUUUCAACUUUGUGAUACACUUUCAAAGAGUCGGAUUGUUUGGGAAUGCAGUCCAAAAUGGGUGGUAAAUUUCAUCUAAAGCUAAAUAUUGGCGAGAGACCGAUAGCGAACAAGUACCGUGAGGGAAAGAUGAAAAGAACUUUGAAAAGAGAGUUAAACAGUACGUGAAAUUGUCAAAAGGGAAGCGUUUGACACCAGUGUUGUUUUUCUGAAAAUCAAUUAAAGAACUGUUUAUGCUAAGUUGUUUAGACUUUAUCAGCUAUCUGUUUAGUUUUGAGCUUUUCUUUAAUGCACUUUUCAGUUAACAAGUCAACAUCAAUUUCUUUUGCUGUAAAAAAGCUUGAGGAAGGUGGCUUGAGAUUCGUCUUAAGUGUUUAUAGCCUCUUGCCUAUGCAGUCGGAGAGAUUGAGGUCUGCAGCGUAGAUCCUUCGGGGCUAAAUGCAUUUGUGCUAAGUUAUAACAUUUUAUAGACAACUUGUUGACUAUGAUUUGUCUUGUAGCUUACUCGCUUAUGUUAUUUUACCUACGCUUAGGAUGUUGAAGUCAUCGUAUCGCGC